UCCCUUGUGGCUCAGCUGGUAAAGAAUCUGCCUGCAAUGCUGAAGACCAGGGUUCGAUCCCUGCGUUGGAA
rnacentral:tRNA from 1 species